rnacentral:rRNA from 1 species
AACCUGCCCAAGAGAUCGGGAUAACACCUGGAAACAGAUGCUAAUACCGGAUAACAACAGAUGAUGCCUAUCAACUGUUUAAAAGAUGGUUCUGCUAUCACUCUUGGAUGGACCUGCGGUGCAUUAGCUAGUUGGUAGGGUAACGGCCUACCAAGGCGAUGAUGCAUAGCCGAGUUGAGAGACUGAUCGGCCACAUUGGGACUGAGACACGGCCCAAACUCCUACGGGAGGCAGCAGGUA